rnacentral:rRNA from 1 species
UACAGAGGUCUCAAGCGUUGUUCGGAUUCAUUGGGCGUAACGGGUGUGUAGGUGGCGCGCUAAGUCGGGUGUGAAAUUUCGGAGCUUAACUCCGAAACUGCAUUCGAUACUGGCGUGCUUGAGGACUGGAGAGGAGACUGGAAUUCAUGGUGUAGCAGUGAAAUGCGUAGAGAUCAUGAGGAAGACCAGUGGCGAAGGCGGGUCUCUGGACAGUUCCUGACACUGAGACACGAAGGCCAGGGGAGCAAACGGG